AGUGAUCGCUGGCGGCGUGCUUAACACAUGCAAGUCGAGCGAGAUUUGACAGCGUAUCGUCAGGUCUAGCGGCAGACGGGUGAGUAAUACUUGGGCAAUCUGCCCUUGAGUGGGGGACAACCGGCCGAAAGGCUGGCUAAUACCCCAUAAGACCACAGGGAUGCAUAUCCUAGAGGUCAAAGCUCCGUAAGGGGCGCUUGAGGAGGAGCCCGAGUCCUAUCAUGGUAGUUGGCGGGGUAAUGGCCCACCAAGCCGUUGACGGGUAGCCGGCCUGAAAGGGCAACCGGCCACACUGGCACUGAGACACGGGCCAGACUCCUACGGGAGGCAGCAGUGGGGAAUUUUGGACAAUGGGGGCAACCCUGAUCCAGCGACGCCGCGUGAAGGAUGAAGGUCUUCGGAUUGUAAACUUCUUUUGAAGGGGAUGAAUGUCUGCGUGAAUAACGCAGAGUGACAGUACUCUUCGAAUAAGCCACGGCUAACUACGUGCCAGCAGCCGCAGUAAAAC
rnacentral:rRNA from 1 species